GUUUUAGUAUAAGUAUACCCCAUGUAAUAUUUGGGACAUAUUUAGUCUAAAA
rnacentral:miRNA from 1 species